rnacentral:sRNA from 1 species
GCGCCGCGGCGCUGGUGUUUUUGUGGUUCUUUGUCGAAUAGUUGUCGCGGCACGUAUCUCGGUCGGUCGAGACGUGUAGAGCUCGCGGUCGGAGUUCGUGAGGCGGACAAAAAAAAAAGGAGGGUGCAUGAGGAUACAUGGGAUUGUGGGUGAGACAAUGAGGGGACAAGAAUAGAGGUGGAAUAUGAAAGGUGCUCUGGGAAUUUUAGCGAAGAUUCACAAUGUAAUGGUGAUGGCUUAGAUAGGAUAUGUACAAAUUUGUCGAUAUUUUUCAGUUGUGUUGUAGUAGGGCAUGAACAAAGGUAAAGUCUAAGAUGGAUGGUCUUUUAGUUAACGCAUAUCACUUAGAGACUAUUCUACUACAAUAGUUAAGACAACAAGAACUCUUGAUCAUUAGUGCACCAAAAAUUUUUUUUAUACCCUUCUUUCCUUUUCUCCACCUCCAUGUAACAAAAUUUCCUUUAAUAAACGUUAAGAGUCGACUCUGACCCGUUGUUAUGCGUAGCAACUAUGUUUCCCUUUCCUCCAUUCUCUCUCUUCCACAUCAUCAAUUUUACUUGCAUGGGAACGAAGAGAAUCCGUUAUUACACACCGUUGUACAUGCCCUUACAAUUUC